rnacentral:rRNA from 1 species
CCUACGGGAGGCAGCAGUGGGGAAUAUUGCACAAUGGGCGAAAGCCUGAUGCAGCUAUGCCGCGUGUAUGAAGAAGGCCUUAGGGUUGUAAAGUACUUUCAGCAGGGAGGAAAGAAAUAAAACUAAUAAUUUUAUUUUGUGACGUUACCUGAAGAAGAAGCACCGGCUAACUCCGUGCCAGCAGCCGCGGUAAU